UUAUCAAAAUGAGCGUCCCAUCAUGCACUUGGUUAUUAUGCAGACGCUCGAUUGCCAGAAUUUGUGGUUAUUUUUUAGCUGCAAAAUGGUACAGCAUUAAAAGAUAUCAAAGUAAACAAUCGUCUUACAUUUCUGAUGGCACUGAAAAUUCUUUUGAGUUCUGGUCCUUUGAUGCAACCAAACAGUGAAGAAGGAUCCACCAUAAACCUUGGCUUCCCAAAAUAAAUGAAGAAACUAUCUGUGCAAAAGUACACCACAAAAUCAUUCUAAGCUAAACUUUAAUAAAAACACCACAUCAAGUAAAAUGUCAGGUGAGGGUCAUUUUAGAAAUUCACCUUACAGUGCUGAUAGGCAACAGAUGAGUCCAGCUUUUGAAAGUGGCACUCGUCACAGUGACAUUGAGCAAGAUUCACUAAAUAGAAUGAAUAUCCAUCCGGUUGCUGAUAUGAAUAAUAAUAAUGAUAACAGUAAACUACAAGCAGAAAGUCAAGGCAGUCAGUGCUACAAGAGUCCAGAAAACGAGAGAAAUUCUACUAGACAUACAAACGUUGAAGUCCGUCCUAAUUGUACUCCAACAAGUUUUGGUGGUUUGUUUCCCAGUGGGCGGGCCGAUACAGAACAAUUUUCUGAGCCUGCUCCUUCAGGAGGAACUGAUGUGGAUAUCUACAGGCAGUCGUAUCUGCAAAAUCAAUAUGGCCAACAGCACUUUGUUGAAGUUGAGGAAGCUAAGACACAUGAAGUAGUAGCUGAUGGCCAACAGCCACACAUAGUUUCAGACUACUCACAGUAUACCCAGUAUGGACCAACAUUACAAGAUGAGCAAAUAGCUGCAGAACAGUUAGCAUCUGAGCUUUGUUCUAAUUAUGGAGGGUCAAACUCCCAUAUGAUAUCUGAUAUACUGAAAAGAAACAAUGCCCAGCAGUAUGGGUAUGGUAGUUUUGAGAGACCUGCAGACAUAGAAGCUAUGCAACAGUUUGACAACAUGGUCACAAAUCAAAAUGUUGUACAUGAUGUAGAUCUACUCAAUACUCCUCAACAGUUACCAGUGGAUGAGGACAGUCAUCAUAGUGUUACAUUCAGAUCUGUAAGACAUCAUCAGGAACAGUUUGGGGACCCACAGGCCAGUUCCACACCUGAUUCAUACAGGAGACAAAGAUCUGCAGAUUCUCCACAUCAUGAUUAUCAGGGUGCAGUGACCUACAAUGAUGUACAUCUUCAUGGAGGUAGAUGGUCCAGUCAAAACUCUCCAAUGUUUAGACCGCAGCAAGAUUCAGAGAGUCCAUUUCCACCUGCUAGAAUUAAAACUGUCAUUGGUCAUCAAAAACGACAUGAAGGUUAUCAGCCACAUCUAAUGGACAGAGUCCCUUACCCUCAUAAAGCAGCCAACCAGCGAUGUAAUGCAUCACCAGACAAUGAAGGUAAGACUUAUCUAAGCAUGCCUCAGUUUGGACAGACACCGUCUUGUGAGCAUGAUCAUUCCUUGGAAAAUCAGCAUGUUCCAAGUUCAGACCACUACAGUGGUUUUAAGUCUCCAAGUUCGCACAAUAGCAGUUAUGGUCAUUCACAACAUGAGGUCACAAAAAUGACCUUUACACCGAGAGAAAUGAUGGAAAUCCACCUAAGUCAGAACUAUCGGUAUCAGAAAAAAUCAAAUUAUGGUCAGCAUGUAUCUGAAUAUUCUUCCAUCUAUCCAUCAAAGGAAUUUAUCGAGAGAACAACCAAUCAGAAAGCUGGAAAACGAAACCAGUCUAAUGAAAUUCCAAAAGAGAAUCAACGUCCUAAAAAGAAGUCUAGAAUUUCCAAAUAUAGUACAGAGGAUGGCCCCAAAGUGCCGCCACAAAUGCCGAUUUUCGACAGUACAUUUCAGAAAUAUGCACCAAUCAUACCAAGAGAUGAAAUUCAUGCCAGUAAGCAUAAAUACUUUGUUGUGAAUCCUUCAGAAAUCACUAACAUGGCUUCUAAAUCCUUAGUAACAAAAUAUAUAGAUUUCCUCAUACUAGAAAAUGAGCAGAUAACAGAAAUUUCCAAAUCGACAAACCCACCUGUUGACAUUUAUGUCACUGAAGACAUGUACUUUAUGGACAGUCUAAAAUUCAAUGCACCUUUCCCAAGUAAGAAAUUUGUUGAGUGGGUUGCCAGUUUCUAUCCCAGAUUGAAUUUUUUUGAGAUGAAGUUCAAAGGCCGACAUCCACAGAUGCCACAACAGAACAAAGUGAUGAAGCCAGAUUCACGCCCCACUCAGCAAAUACUAGAGGAUACGUUUUAUUUCUUUCAAAGAGAGGCCAUGAAUGUAGAAUCUGAGAAGGAAUAAUAUUGAAGAGAGUAUAUUAACUGACAGCUUUGUUUUGUGUAGCAUUAUGAAACGUUUAAUACUAUCGAAGUAAAAGAAUGGUAGGUAUAUAUAAAGGCAAAACAAAGCAUAACAAAAUACAUUGUUUAGCCAAAGCCAUUUUGGUUUCCAAUUUUCCUAUGCUUUUUGUCCAUUUAUUGGAUUCAGAGUUAGAUAUUCUUGAUAAAAAAGAACAACAGUUCAAUACUGAUUUUGUAUAUAAAUAGAUCUAAUUAAUUAUUUUGUUCAAACAAAAUGUUUCUUUAUUUUUUAUCUUUAUAUUUUAACUUUAUAAAAAGAAAAAGAAAAAACAAUUGUAUGAUUUGUUGAAUUUUGAAAAUGUGCUGAUGCUGUAUUUGUUUAAAAUAUUACAAAUUUUAAAUUUGAAAAUGCAUCAGUUAUAUUAUUUUAUUGCCAGAUAGAGAUGUACGUAUUGCCAGAUAGAGGUGUACAUGUAUAUUAUAUCAAAUAUGAUCUUUCUAUGUCAUUCUAUUUUAUUCAUUUUAUUGUGCUAUAUAUUUGUUGAAGACAUUAUGCAUGAUUUUUAUUUUUCUAGUUAUGGAUAUGUUUACAAACAUUUUCAAUUUAUAUAAUUUUAAUUUUCCUUUACCAUUUUUAUAUGCCCGAAAGAAUUUCGGGCAUAUUAUGUUAUACCCCCUGGCGUCCGUCUGUCUGUCCGUCCGUUAGCAAUUUGGUUUCUGGAGCAUAACUUAAGUUCCAUUUGGCCCACAGUAUUCAAACUUCAUAGGAUGAUUGCCCAUAUUGGGUAGAAGACCCCUAUUGAUUUUGGGGUCACAGUGAAUAUCAAAAGUCAAGGUCACUAUUACCAUAAAACUGAAAAUGGUUUCCGAAGCAUUAUAACUUAAGUUCCAUUUGGCCCACAGUUUUCAAACUUCAUAGGAUGAUUGUCCAUAUUGGGUAGAAGACCCCUAUUGAUUUUGGGGUCACAAGGUCAAGGUCACUAUUAGCUUAAUACUGAAAAUGGUUUCCGGAGCAUAACUUAAGUUCCUUUUGCCCACAGUUUUCAAACUUCAUAGGAUGAUUGUCCAUGUUGGGUAGAAGACCCCUAUUGAUUUUGGGGUCACAAGGUCAAAGGUCAAGGUCACUAUUACCAUAAAACUGAAAAUGGUUUCCGCAGCAUAACUUAAGUUCCAUUUGGUCCACAGUAUUCAAACUUCAUAGGAUGAUUGUCUAUAUUGGGUAGAAGACCCCCUAUUGAUUUUGGGGUCACAAGGUCAAAGAUCAAGGUUACUAUCACCUUUAAACUGGAAACAGUUUUCGUUCAAUAACUCAAGCAUUAAUCAACCUACAGCUAAAGUACUUUCGGGCAUAUAAUGCCCCGCCUAGCGGUGCUCUUGUCUUUCUUGUUUUCAUUGUAGAUUAUUUUACAAAUUUAUUAU